rnacentral:rRNA from 1 species
AGAGCGAACGCUGGCGGCAGGCCUAACACAUGCAAGUCGAGCGCCCCGCAAGGGGAGCGGCAGACGGGAGAGUAACACGUGGGAACGUACCCUUUGGUUCGGAACAACACAGGGAAACUUGUGCUAAUACCGGAUAAGCCCUUACGGGGAAAGAUUUAUCGCCAAAGGAUCGGCCCGCGUCUGAUUAGCUUGUUGGUGAGGUAACGGCUCACCAAGGCUACGAUCAGUAGCUGGUCUGAGAGGAUGAUCAGCCUCACUGGGACUGAGACACGGCCCAGACUCCUACGGGAGGCAGCAGUGGGGAAUAUUGGACAAUGGGCGCAAGCCUGAUCCAGCCAUGCCGCGUGGAUGAUGAAGGCCCUAGGGUUGUAAAGUCCUUUCGACGGGGAAGAUAAUGACGGUACCCGUAGAAUAAGCCCCGGCUAACUUCGUGCCAGCAGCCGC